AGCAGCCGCGGUAAUUCCAGCUCCAAUAGCGUAUAUUAAAGUUGUUGCAGUUAAAAAGCUCGUAGUUGAAUUUCGGGGUCAGUAGAUUGGUCGUGCCACUGGUAUGCACUGGUCUUACUGGCUCCUCCUUCCUGAUGAACCGUAAUGCCAUUAAUUUGGUGUUGCGGGGAGACUGGACUGUUACUUUGAAAGAAUUAGAGUGUUUAAAGCAGGCUAACGCUUGAAUACAUUAGCAUGGAAUAAUGAAAUAGGACGUUCGAUCUUAUUUUGUUGGUUUCUAAGAUUGACGUAAUGAUUAAUAGGGAUAGUUGGGGG
rnacentral:rRNA from 1 species